rnacentral:rRNA from 1 species
UACGAAGGGUGCAAGCGUUACUCGGAAUUACUGGGCGUAAAGCGUGCGUAGGUGGUGAGUUAAGUCUGUCGUGAAAGCCCCGGGCUCAACCUGGGAAUGGCGAUGGAUACUGGCUCGCUAGAGUGCGGUAGAGGAGAGUGGAAUUCCCGGUGUAGCAGUGAAAUGCGUAGAUAUCUGGAGGAACACCGGUGGCGAAGGCGGCAUCCUGGACCGACACUGACGCUGAGGAGCGAAAGCCAGGGGAGCAAACGGG